AUUGGGCGUUUGUUGCGCACCUGAGGCCCUACAUCCUGUUUUUCUGAGACGAGAUCACGAGAGGCAGAGUCCACGAGGCCACGAAAGCGCUCCACCGACCAGGCGCCCACCACCUGUUCGAUCGAAUGCCGCCGCCGGCCACCGCGCGCGGCGCCCGCUCCGCCGCCUCCUCCACCCCGUUAGGCGCCGCCGGUGGCGGCCGACGAGGGCCCCUCCCCGACCCCUUGGCGCAUCCGCUCCCGACGCCCUUACCAACCUCUCCGGCUACGCCUUCCGCCCCGACCUCCGGGCUCCUCCAUCCUCUCGCACCAGCGCGCCGCCCUCGCGCCGCCUCGGGCGCCCCCGUUCCAGGACCGCGUCGUCCAUGCGCUCCUCCUCCUGCUCCUCGAGCCCGCAGGCCCCAAACCUUUCGCUCCCACCGCCACCCGUUCCGUCCGCUCCCACUUCGCCGCUCUACCCUUUGGUUCAUCUCUGCCGACCUCACCGGCGGUGGCCGACGCGCUCUCGCCGGAUACUUUCUACUUUCCUGUUGUCCAGAAGACCGUCUCUGACCGCAAUGCCCAUGUCUGGGCUGUGUUUGUGCCACCAUGAUAGGAGCUUGAUGGUCUAGCUAAGAGAAGAGGCUGAAAAGGAAGGUGCUCAGGAAGAACAGAAUGUGCCCCCCUGAGUUCCUGACCCAUAUUGAUUGAGGUUAAUACUUCGGAAGUUCGGAUUUACCCUGGAACAGGCGUGUCAUGUGCCGAAUUGUGGGCAUUAUGGUAUACUUAGCCAUUUUGCCUGCCAAUGUGUGCCUUAACAAACUCAAUUGGUGGAUGGAGGGAAAGAUGCAUGAGUACUUCUGGCCAGGCAUGAUUCGAUUGGGAAGGAGGUGGGUGACUACGGAUGCGAGAAACGCCCAGGGUCUUCUGGCUUAGCUCCACAAGGUGGUGGGCUAGACGACCUAGGGAUGUCCGCCUGGCCUGAGUUUGUCCCAUGAAGUGGGAAGGAGUAAAACAAGUAAGAUGGAUUACCUAAGAUGUGGUGGUUCCCAUGCUCUUAUUGGGAUCAGGGGUCCAAGGGAGGACACAGUUGAGGUAAAGGAUGAUGGAGUUCUGCAAGAGCACUUUUGGUUUGAGGCCUGAGAAAGUGAGAUAUCAAUGGUUGGGAUUGAGCACAUGAAUCAAUCAAGUUCUUGGAUCACGUGAUCACCCGCUGGGUUAUCUACCAACCUUACAAUAUACUGCUAAUGGAGGAAACAUUGUGAGUGACAAGGGUGUUGGAACACUCUUAUAGCAAAGCCUUCAGAGGUGGGAGGUGCAUAAGGCAUUUAAGGAGUCUUGAAGUUGUUGCCACGUUCACCAAUGCUGUACUCUGGGCAGGCACGCACAAUCCUCAGAUGACAAAUUUCUCGAGACCAUGUCUGAUUAGUACAUGUACACAGACAACCGGAAGAAGAUUGUAGGAACAGUUCUAUUGGAGCAAUGUUCCUUGACUCAAUGAUAGCAGUUGGAAUUAUUUGCAUGUACUGCUUGGAGGUGGCAGACCACUGGCUAUCAGAUGCUUCCUGCAGAGCAACAUGGGCAUAAGACUAUGAUCAGUGAUCACCGCCAUCUUAAAGAAAGUGUUAUGGUGAGGACGGCUCGUUGGUUCACAGGGUCACCAGCCUAUGAUACCAUGGGCAGGAGGGAAGUCAUACAGAUGACCUACCGUGUUUAUGAUCUAUUAACACCAUAUUCAUCAGAAAAUAAGUGUAUAUGUUCUUGUCAUUGCUUUUCUUUUGCAGGAUGACCAAUCCUGGAGUACAUUUUGUUUUAAAAAUUUCACAGUAUAUCCUUUUAUCCUUUCUGGAGGUUACAGUAUCUUAUGGACAGUUGGCUUUCAGCUCUGGAUUCUUCAGUUUGGUCUACUGGGAUCAUGAUGGUGAUGAUAUCCUGCAGGGCAACCAUAUCACCGUGGGGCAGCGCAGAAAGAAAGAAACAGGUAGAAAGGUCAGAGGCAUUGACAUUGACCAGGAAGAGGAUUCUUUGUUCCUCCUAUGUUGUUUGAUGUGAUUCGUGCUGUUUAUCAGAUGAACUUGACUGUAAUUAACAGUGGAGAAUUCUUUCUGGUGAAAUUUUCACAGGAGGAAUCAGUCUCUCGUCUUGGUGGCGGUUCUUGAUCCGCAGAAAAUUGACCGGACUGCUGAACUAACGAACUGCCAUUAUUAUACAGUACCCCGUGUGCUUUUCCCGUUUCUAUCGUCUCCUAAGCCAUUGACCAAAAUUUAUUGUACUUUAACUACGGAUUUACUCCUAAUUGAAUACAGGCGUACGCGUUGCCGAGUCC